rnacentral:lncRNA from 1 species
CUUUCACCACCCAAACUACCAUGGGUUUAUUUUUUUUAACGGAAGCUAUCUGCAUGGAACAAAGAGUUAAAACAAUCUGCUUUGGACAUAAAGCAAGGACCACCGAAAUGCUCCCCUUCCCUCAGAAGAAGUACUUCCUUCCCGUGGGAAGAUCCAGGGAAGAGGAGACGCCUCCUGCCCUUGGGGAUCAAGUUCUGUGGCUGCCCCUUCCCUUCUCUGCAGCUGAUGGAGAUCCCUGUGCUGAGCCUGCAUCAGGGCAUAUGGUGUUGCAGACAGGUUCUCUCCAUGUUAAAGGAUGUUGCAGGCCAAGUUUAAAGUUGCUGGGGAGAAAAUACUUCAGCCAGUGCUUCUUCUGCAAGUAAAUGUUGGAAAGAAGAUGACUAAUUAUGCAACAUGUUAUGGGUGCUGGAACGAUCUCUAGUAAACACUCAGUGAUUCCAAAAGCAUCACAGAGAGGUGUGAGAUUCAGGUGAAUGUGAACUCUGUAGAGGCGAAGAUCCUCUUGGGUGCGACCCUCUGUGCUUUCCUGUUCUGAGUGAAACAAGCUGAGCUGCAGAAUGCUGUGUCUACCAUUUUGAGGGAGGGACACCUGGCUAACUGGCUGAGUCUGUUGUCCUGGGAAAGAGGUUAACAACUGUGUGAGGAAUGACCAAUUAACCCACACUCUGCAAUUAAUGGGACACGACGUCCUCACUGUAAUUACCAUCUCAGCCUAAGAGUCCAUCAUUACAUAGAAGUGAAAUCCCCUAAUUAGCUGGGAUUAAAAGAACAGACAGAAAAUUAAAAUGUACAGGGACCAAGAGAAAAGGAUGUACUCGACUCAGAAAAUUUUAGAAAAGGCUGACUUCAGGUCAUUAAUAUCUUUCUUGAGAUUUUAAGGUGGUUUGUACACUUAUACAUUAGCAUACAGAACACUAAUAAAAAUCACUAUGUCAGCUCUAUGCUAUUUCAUAUUGGUUGCAUAUGAUCUUGGAAUCGAUAAUUAUAAUCCAUCUCCUGCCAGUUCAUGAAUGAAUGUGUACUCUGUGCCACAGUAUUAAUACAUAUGACUGAGCUGCUACUUUUUUAAAGAUGUCUACUCCAUUGUUUUAUAUUUCUAUGUAGUUUUGGGUGUGUGAAGUUUGAUGGAUGAGAGGAAUUUAAAAUUCUGAGAUUUAUGUUAUUGAUAUAUAAUCUAAUGCAGUUUCAUAAAGCUGAACUUUAAAAAAAUCUCAGUAGAUAAAAAUCUCCUACCAUUUAAUAUUACAACGCAUAAAAAAAGAUUUAUUUGAGAGCCAUAAAUGUUAUGACUAAAUAUAGUAUGUAAUAUUCUUGUUUUAACAAUAAUUAAACACAGAUGAUUCUGUUUAUUAUAU